AGAACGAACGCUGGCGGCAUGCCUAAUACAUGCAAGUCGAACGAACACUUCGGUGUUAGUGGCGCACGGGUGCGUAACGCGUGGGAAUCUGCCCUUGGGUUCGGAAUAACAGUUGGAAACGACUGCUAAUACCGGAUGAUGACGAAAGUCCAAAGAUUUAUCGCCCAGGGAUGAGCCCGCGUAGGAUUAGCUAGUUGGUGAGGUAAAGGCUCACCAAGGCGACGAUCCUUAGCUGGUCUGGGAGGAUGAUCAGCCACACUGGGACUGAGACACGGCCCAGACUCCUACGGGAGGCAGCAGUAGGGAAUAUGGGCAAUGGGCGCAAGCCUGAUCCAGCAAUGCCGCGUGAGUGAUGAAGGCCUUAGGUUGUAAAGCUCUUUUACCCGAGAUGAUAAUGACAGUAUCGGAGAAUAAGCCCCGGCUAACUCCGUGCCAGCAGCCGC
rnacentral:rRNA from 1 species